rnacentral:rRNA from 1 species
GGAUGACGUCAAAUCAUCAUGCCCCUUAUGACCUGGGCUACACACGUGCUACAAUGGAUAGUACAAAGGGUCGCGAAGCCGCGAGGUGGAGCUAAUCCCAUAAAACUAUUCUCAGUUCGGAUUGUAGGCUGCAACUCGCCUACAUGAAGCCGGAAUCGCUAGUAAUCGUGGAUCAGCAUGCCACGGUGAAUACGUUCCCGGGCCUUGUACACACCGCCCGUCACACCACGAGAGUUUGUAACACCCGAAGUCGGUAGGGUAACCUUUAUGGAGCCAGCCGCCGAAGGUGGGACAGAUAAUUGGGGUGAAGUCGUAACAAGGUAGCCGUAUCGGAAGGUGCGGCUGGAUCACCUCCUUUCUAAGGAA